GAUGAACGCUGGCGGCGUGCCUAAUACAUGCAAGUCGAGCGAACAGACGAGGAGCUUGCUCCUCUGACGUUAGCGGCGGACGGGUGAGUAACACGUGGAUAACCUACCUAUAAGACUGGGAUAACUUCGGGAAACCGGAGCUAAUAACGGAUAAUAUAUUGAACCGCAUGGUUCAAUAGUGAAAGACGGUUUUGCUGUCACUUAUAGAUGGAUCCGCGCAGCAUUAGCUAGUUGGUAAGGUAACGGCUUACCAAGGCAACGAUGCGUAGCCGACCUGAGAGGGUGGUCGCACAGCCUGGAACUGAGACACGUUCCAGACUCCUACGGGAGGCCGCAGUAGGGAAUCUUCCGCAAUGGGCGAAAGCCUGACGGAGCAACGCCGCGUGAGGGAUGAAGGUCUUCGGAUCGUAAAACUCUGUUAUUAGGGAAGAACAAAUGUGUAAGUAACUAUGCACGUCUUGACGGUACCUAAUCAGAAAGCCACGGCUAACUACGUG
rnacentral:rRNA from 1 species